CUGUGAAGCCGGCCUGUGAGGGAUCCGGUGGAGAGAUCACUAGUGAGAAUGAUGACAUGAGUAGCGACAAAGAGUGUGAGAGACACUCUCGCCGAAAGUCCAAGGGUUCCUGCUUAAAGCUAAUCUGAGCAGGGUAAGCCGGCCCCUAAGCCGAGGCCGAAAGGCGUAGGCGAUGGGAACCACGUUAAUAUUCGUGGGCCAGAUGGAAGUGACGGAUCUCGAAGAUUGUUCCUCCUUAUCGGAUUGGAGGGGCCGUUCAGAGGUUCCUGGAAAUAGCUCCAUCAUCAGACCGUACCCUAAACCGACACAGGUGGACUGGUAGAGAAUACCAAGGCGCUUGAGAGAACGAUGUUGAAGGAACUCGGCAAAAUACCUCCGUAAGUUCGCGAGAAGGAGGCCCGGUUCCUAGGCAACUAGGGGCUGGGGGCACAAACCAGGGGGUGGCGACUGUUUAUUAAAAACACAGGGCUCUGCGAAGUCGCAAGACGA
rnacentral:rRNA from 1 species